UACGUAGGUGGCGAGCGUUGUCCGGAUUUACUGGGCGUAAAGGGAGCGUAGGCGGACUUUUAAGUGAGAUGUGAAAUACUCGGGCUCAACUUGAGUGCUGCAUUUCAAACUGGAAGUCUAGAGUGCAGGAGAGGAGAAUGGAAUUCCUAGUGUAGCGGUGAAAUGAGUAGAGAUUAGGAAGAACACCAGUGGCGAAGGCGAUUCUCUGGACUGUAACUGACGCUGAGGCUCGAAAGCGUGGGGAGCAAACAGG
rnacentral:rRNA from 1 species